CUCAGGGUAGCCUAGUGGACAUGGCAUCUACCCGGUGAACGGAACACUGUGGGUUCGAUUCCCAUCCCUGGAU
rnacentral:tRNA from 1 species